UACGAAGGGUGCAAGCGUUACCCGGAAUUACUGGGCGUAAAGCGUGCGUAGGCGGUUUGUUAAGUCCGUUGUGAAAGCCCUGGGCUCAACCUGGGAAUUGCAGUGGAUACUGGCGAGCUAGAGUGCGGUAGAGGAUGGUGGAAUUCCCGGUGUAGCGGUGAAAUGCGUAGAGAUCGGGAGGAACACCCGUGGCGAAGGCGGCCAUCUGGACCAGCACUGACGCUGAGGCACGAAAGCGUGGGGAGCAAACAGG
rnacentral:rRNA from 1 species